rnacentral:tRNA from 1 species
GAUGUGUCAUUUAGGGUAACCGCCGGACUUUUAAUCCGUAGGUCCUGGGUUCGAGCCCCAGCAACCUCACUA